rnacentral:rRNA from 1 species
AUUGAACGCUGGCGGCAGGCCUAACACAUGCAAGUCGAACGAGUGGCGGACGGGGGAGUAAUGUCUGGGAAACUGCCUGAUGGAGGGGGAUAACUACUGGAAACGGUAGCUAAUACCGCAUACAAUGGGUUGUGCACAGAUGGGAUUAGAUUGUUGGUGGGGUAACGACUCACCAAGGCGACGCUCCCUAGCGGGUCUGAGAGGAUGACCAGCAACACUGGAACUGAGAAACGGUCCAGACUCCUACGGGAGGCAGAAGUGGGGAAUAUUGCACAAUGGGCGCAAGCCUGAUGCAGCCAUGCCGCGUGUAUGAAGAAGGCCUUCGGGUUGUAAAGUACUUUCAGCGGGGAGGCGUUACCCGCAGAAGAAGCACCGGCUAACUCCGUGCCAGCAGCCGCGGUAAUAC